UACAAAAAGCCAGGACACUCACUGUCAGCUGGGCUGCCACCACAACAAACUGUUGUAUUUGAAAGACAUUUGACAGAUUUUUAUUUUACAAACAAGGUGACGUAGCGUUACAGCUGCUGCCAGUGCUGUUCCCAACUGCCCUUUACAAAGUGGGGAAGCACAGAAUCAGAUUGGAACGAACAUGGUGGAUUACCUGACAUGACCAACAACGGAGUACCCAUAUGUCCUUAUGCUGGGGGAGGACCAUCAGCGUUCCCAAGCAUUUGUUGUCCUAAACGGUACAGCCUUGCAGCAGCCAUCUCUUUUAGGUGCGGCUGAUGUCUGUUUCAAGGCAUUUUUUGUUAUUGAUCUUAGCUACCCAAAAGCAUAUGCACAGGUUUGGGAGUUUAUUCAGAAAGUUCUUUAGCAUCCCAGAGAAUGAAUCAAAUGCAAUAAAAUUAAUGCGAGCCCAA